UACAGAGGUCUCAAGCGUUGUUCGGAUUCAUUGGGCGUAAAGGGUGCGUAGGCGGCGCGGUAAGUCGGAUGUGAAAUCUUGGAGCUUAACUCCGAAACUGCAUUCGAUACUGUCGUGCUUGAGGACUGGAGAGGAGACUGGAAUUUACGGUGUAGCGGUGAAAUGCGUAGAUAUCGUAAGGAAGACCAGUGGCGAAGGCGGGUCUCUGGACAGUUCCUGACGCUGAAGCACGAAGGCCAGGGGAGCAAACGGG
rnacentral:rRNA from 1 species